rnacentral:rRNA from 1 species
GACGAACGCUGGCGGCGUGCUUAACACAUGCAAGUCGAACGGAAAGGCCCUGCUUUUGUGGGGUGCUCGAGUGGCGAACGGGUGAGUAACACGUGAGUAACCUGCCCUUGACUUUGGGAUAACUUCAGGAAACUGGGGCUAAUACCGGAUAGGAGCUCCUGCUGCAUGGUGGGGGUUGGAAAGUUUCGGCGGUUGGGGAUGGACUCGCGGCUUAUCAGCUUGUUGGUGGGGUAGUGGCUUACCAAGGCUUUGACGGGUAGCCGGCCUGAGAGGGUGACCGGCCACAUGGGGACUGAGAUACGGCCCAGACUCCUACGGGAGGCAGCAGUGGGGAAUAUUGCACAAGGGGCGGAAGCCUGAUGCAGCAACGCCGCGUGCGGGAGGACGGCCUUCGGGUUGUAAACCGCUUUCGCCUGUGACGAAGCGUGAGGGACGGGAAUGGGUAAAGAAGCACCGGCUAACUACGU